UACGGAGGGUGCAAGCGUUGUCCGGAUUUAUUGGGUUUAAAGGGUGCGCAGGCGGAACGAUCAGUCAGUGGUGAAAUCUCCCGGCUUAACCGAGAAACUGCCAUUGAUACUAUCGUUCUUGAGUCCAGUUGAAGUAGGCGGAAUGUAGCAUGUAGCGGUGAAAUGCUUAGAUAUGCUACAGAACACCGAUAGCGAAGGCAGCUUACUAAACUGAAACUGACGCUCAGGCACGAAAGCGUGGGUAGCAAACAGG
rnacentral:misc_RNA from 1 species